UACGAAGGAUGCAAGCGUUAUCCGGAUUUAUUGGGCUUAAAGGGUGCGUAGGCGGUCUUAUAAGUCAGUGGUGAAAUCUCGUUGCUUAACAACGAACGUGCCAUUGAUACUGUAGGUCUUGAGUACAGAUGCCGUUGGCGGAAUGUGUCAUGUAGCGGUGAAAUGCAUAGAUAUGACACAGAACACCGAUUGCGAAGGCAGCUGACGAAACUGUAACUGACGCUGAGGCGCGAAAGCGUGGGGAUCAAACAGG
rnacentral:rRNA from 1 species